rnacentral:rRNA from 1 species
CCUUUUUUUAACUCAAAGUAGUAAAUAAGAAACUUAAUAAUUUGACGGUAUCUAAUAUCAUAAAGGAGUUUGUAAUUUAAUCGUCAAUACACGUUUAACCUUACUUAAAUAAAUUUGUAUACCUCCGUUAAAGAUAUUAUCAUAAAUAAAAAAAAAUUUCAUAAAAAUAAUAAAUUAAUAAAUCAGGUCAAGGUGCAGUUUUUUAAGAUAUUAUGAGCUACAUUCAAAAAAUAAAGAUGAAUUAAUCUAUGAAAAAAGAUCAUGAAAAUGAAUUUAUAAAUAAAGUAAAAUUAAUAUAUUUACUUGAAAAAUUAUUAGAUAUGU